rnacentral:lncRNA from 1 species
AAGUCAUGAAGGAAAUAAUGUGCAGUGUACACUAUGUGUGCAAACAGCAACAAAGUAGGCAUUGGGCAACGGAAGCCAAUGUGCCUGAAAUUCCUAGAGCCCCAGGGUUUAGCAGGGUAAAUACUGUCAUGCUUGUGUUUACCCUGAGCUGCAAACAGAUCAGAACAAAGUGUAAGGUACAAGAAUUCUCAACACAAUUAUGUGUUUCCCAAUAUGGGUUGGUAAUCUGUGGUGUUAUUUUACUUUCUAACAAAGAAUUCAUCUUGCUUGUCCUCUGGGAACACGGUAUCUUCCUAGGGAAAAAGUCUGCUCUCAGAGAGAAGAGUACUGGUGUUGUAAUGGAGCGGACAAUAUUUAAGCACCUGACCUGGCGAUCUAGAUACAGCCCGUUUCUUCUAUUUGCAAAGCUGAAAGCUCAAGAUAAAACUACCACUGAAUUUCUCAAACCGGUCCUUGUCCCUUGGGCCUCUGUGCCGCACUCCGGAGAUUAUCAGGGCAAGAUAUUCUCCAUAUGUUGGACAUUUUGUCUCAGCAAUGAGAAAAGUAACUGAGACAGAGCCACUCACUAUACCAUCUUGGAAAACCCUGAUUCCCACCUCCGCAUGUCACUGGGUCUGGUCAGCGCUCCCAGGGUACCGUUAGAAAAGCCUUUGAAGACGGAGCUGUUUCAUUCUCCAAGAGGGUGGAGCUUCCUGCUCUGAGUACUUGGAACUUGACCUGUUCCAAAGCUCUGCCAUACAGGCCUUCAGUACUGCAGAUCUGAGACAUAAAGACUACAUAUCACAGAAGGGCAGCUGUCUGUUUAUUAUUCUAACAUCACUUUUGUAAGGAUUAUAAACAUGCAUAAUUGGAACAGAAUUAUCACAAGUAAAUGUUAUUGCUAUGGACUGAAAACACAACACAAACAAAAGCAAUUCCAUUUGUGGGCGGAAAUGAUAAUAUAAGGCUAUAUAAUUUUUGUGUGCUGCAGUAAUUGUAGAAUGCAAAGAUAACAAAUACAACAUUACAGGUGGGCAUGAGAAUUGGGCAGAACAAAAAAUGAGUCAUAACUGUGAAGCCUCGCUUCCCACUUUGCCUACACAGAGACUGAAAGCAAGUGUCAGAAGUCAGUGCAUCUCACAUUGCAAAGUGCCUGUGACUCCCCCGGGAUCUUGCUAAAAUGCAGAUUCGGGCUCAGGGGGUCUAAGGCCAGCCUAAGAUUACACACUUCACAUGCUCUCUGGUGACACCACUGGUGCUGGCCCCUGGGCUACAGGUGGAGAAGCAAAGGACAGAGCAAGGCUCAAGCCAAAUCCUCAUUGGGCCAGGCCAGGGAGGCAGCCCAGUGCCUGAUGGGAAAGGCUCAGUUGUGUCCAGUCCCUGGGGCCAAGGAAAUCAAGGCCACAAUAAAGAUGACAGCAGGAGCUCAGAGCUGAGAUGCCAGGGCCCCAUGGCUAGCACCUCCCUCCCCUUAGGGAGCUCUGGAGCACAGGGGCCUGAGUCUGGGGUGGAGCUGGAAGUAACAGCUCCACCCUUGAUGGGAGGCCUUGGCAGAGACUCCAGCCAAGGUGCCCCCACCCGGGCAGCAGCGGAGCCAGCCAAGGCCCCGUGCAACUGGCCGAUCCCCGGGGGCUCUUAGAUUUCUCCUGAGGGCCAGGCCCCUUCUGCUUGGCCCACAGCAGCUGCUAAGCUUCUGG